GUGAGGAAUUUUCCGCAAUGGGCGAAAGCCUGACGGAGCAAUGCCGCGUGAAGGAUGAAGGCCUAUGGGUUGUAAACUUCUUUUCUCAGAAAAGAAUUAUGACGGUAUCUGAGGAAUAAGCAUCGGCUAACUCUGUGCCAGCAGCCGCGGUAAGACAGAGGAUGCAAGCGUUAUCCGGAAUGAUUGGGCGUAAAGCGUCUGUAGGUUGUUUAAAAAGUAUUCUGUCAAAGAUUAGGGCUUAACCCUAGAUAGGCAGAAUAAACUUUUAAGCUAGAGUUUGGUAGAGGCAGAGGGAAUUCCCGGUGGAGCGGUGAAAUGCGUAGAUAUCGGGAGGAACACCAAAGGCGAAGGCACUCUGCUGGGCCAAUACUAACACUGAGAGACGAAAGCGAGGGGAGCAAAUGGGAUUAGAAACCCUGGUAGUCC
rnacentral:rRNA from 1 species